rnacentral:rRNA from 1 species
GGUUAAGCGACUAAGCGUACACGGUGGAUGCCCUGGCAGUCAGAGGCGAUGAAGGGCGUGCUAAUCUGCGAUAAGCGCCGGUAAGGUGAUAUGAACCGUUAUAACCGGCGAUACCCGAAUGGGGAAACCCAGUGUGAUUCGUCACACUAUCAUUAACUGAAUCCAUAGGUUAAUGAGGCGAACCGGGGGAACUGAAACAUCUAAGUACCCCGAGGAAAAGAAAUCAACCGAGAUUCCCCCAGUAGCGGCGAGCGAACGGGGAGGAGCCCAGAGCCUGAAUCAGCAUGUGUGUUAGUGGAAGCGUCUGGAAAGGCGCGCGAUACAGGGUGACAGCCCCGUACACAAAAGCGUAUGUGCUGUGAGCUCGAUGAGUAGGGCGGGACACGUGGUAUCCUGUCUGAAUAUGGGGGGACCAUCCUCCAAGGCUAAAUACUCCUGACUGACCGAUAGUGAACCAGUACCGUGAGGGAAAGGCGAAAAGAACCCCGGCGAGGGGAGUGAAAAAGAACCUGAAACCGUGUACGUACAAGCAGUGGGAGCACCCUUUGGGGUGUGACUGCGUACCUUUUGUAUAAUGGGUCAGCGACUUAUAUUCUGUAGCAAGGUUAACCGAAUAGGGGAGCCGGAGGGAAACCGAGUCUUAAUUGGGCGUUAAGUUGCAGGGUAUAGACCCGAAACCCGGUGAUCUAGCCAUGGGCAGGUUGAAGGUUGGGUAACACUAACUGGAGGACCGAACCGACUAAUGUUGAAAAAUUAGCGGAUGACCUGUGGCUGGGGGUGAAAGGCCAAUCAAACCGGGAGAUAGCUGGUUCUCCCCGAAAGCUAUUUAGGUAGCGCCUCGUGAAUUCAUCUCCGGGGGUAGAGCACUGUUUCGGCUAGGGGGUCAUCCCGACUUACCAACCCGAUGCAAACUGCGAAUACCGGAGAAUGUUAUCACGGGAGACACACGGCGGGUGCUAACGUCCGUCGUGAAGAGGGAAACAACCCAGACCGCCAGCUAAGGUCCCAAAGUCAUGGUUAAGUGGGAAACGAUGUGGGAAGGCCCAGACAGCCAGGAUGUUGGCUUAGAAGCAGCCAUCAUUUAAAGAAAGCGUAAUAGCUCACUGGUCGAGUCGGCCUGCGCGGAAGAUGUAACGGGGCUAAACCAUGCACCGAAGCUGCGGCAGCGACACUCA